rnacentral:rRNA from 1 species
UACAGAGGUCCCAAGCGUUGUUCGGAUUCACUGGGCGUAAAGGGUGCGUAGGUGGUGGGGUAAGUCGGAUGUGAAAGCUCGGAGCUCAACUCCGAAAUGGCAUUGGAAACUACCCUGCUAGAGGAUUGGAGGGGGGACUGGAAUACUUGGUGUAGCAGUGAAAUGCGUAGAUAUCAAGUGGAACACCAGUGGCGAAGGCGAGUCCCUGGACAAUACCUGACACUGAGGCACGAAAGCUAGGGGAGCAAACAGG